GUUUAAAAGAUAUGCCUAAGCAAUUUCCCUAGAAUCAGUAUAUCAGAUUCCCAGCAUGAUGAGACUACUGAGGAGCCCUGGUGUGUACCUUUGGGGAUACAUCCAUUCUCCAGCCAUCCAGAGACAACAAGAUCUAAGUCUAAACAUUGUGAUAUUUCAACAAGCUUAUUUGGUGUGAGUGAGGAACACCAGUCUUUUCUGUGUCUUUUUUCUACUCUGUUCAUUGACUGUAGAUUCCAGAGAUACCAUUCACUCCAUUCCAGUGAGCACCAACAGAUUGUUUGUCUGGAGGGUAUCACAAGCCAACUUUAUUGGCAAAAUGCAAUCACAGGCUUGGAUAACUCUUCAGUCUCUGAGUCGAAAGAUUCAAGUUGCUCUCCAGAGACUUGAACCCCUAAUCCAAACUGAUUGUCCAAGUGUAGUAUCGAGGGUGUUUUUCUCCAUCCUACCUGACCCGACCCCACCCUCCCGGUAUGGGGGACUUAAGGAUAAGAUAUUAAAUCAAAGUCAGGUACAAGAUCCCAGCAGUGUUUGAUGAGGUGAAGCAAAUAGUGGAGAUUUGGGCUUUAUACUGCCCUAGCAGUGUUGGUAGGAAUAGCAGGGGGAGCUUUACUUACAGUUUACUUUCACUUUAAAAAAGUAGAGGGAGCUUUAUAUAGUAGCUAACUCCAUGCUGUCCCUGUUCUGGGAGUAUUUGAUGGGGACAGUGUAAAGGGAGCUUUAUUUUCAGUUUACAUUCAGAUUAAAAGAGUAGAGGGGAUUUAGCCCAUACCUGACCCUGUGCUAUAUCUGCUUCUGGAGUGUUUAAUAGGGACAGUGUUGAGGAUGAUUUAAUGAAUAUCUAACUCCAUGCUGAACAUGGCCUGGAAAUUUGAAAUUAUCUCAUGUAGGGAGAGCUUUACUCUGUAUCUAACCCUGUGCAGUCUCUGUCCUGAAAGUGUUUGAUGAGGACUGUGUUGAGGAAACUUUACUUACUCUUUAAAAGAGUAGAAGAAGCUUUAUUCUAUAUCUAACCCCGUGCUGACCAUGUCCUGGCGGUAUUUGAUGGGGCCAGUGUCAAGGAAGCUUUAUUUUCAGUUUAAAAGAGUAGAGGCAGCUUUACUUUCAGCUUAAAAGAGGAGAGGGAGAUUUAGUCAGUAUGUAACCCUGUGCUAUAACUGUCCUGGGAAUGCUUGUAGAAAGAGCUUUACUUUAAGUUUGAAUGAGUACAGGGAGCUUUAUCUAACCCCAUGCUGUACCUCCUUGAUGGGGACAGUGUUGAGGGAGCGAUACUUACAUUUUAAAAGAGUAGAGCAAGCUUUACUGUGUACCUAGCCCCAUGCUGUCCUUGUCUUGAUGUUUGAUGUGUCAAGGAGGAUUUACUUUCAGUUUAAAAGAAUAGAGGGGUAGCUUUACACUGCAUCUAGCGCCAUGCUGUGCCUACCUUGAGAGUAUUUUCCUGGGAGCAUAUAGAGUGAGUUUCACUCUGCAUCUCUCCUAGAAGUUGGAAAAGAGUUUCAGUAGACUCUACCCAUCCACAGCCAUAAACAGUCAGGAGAAUAUUGAAGGUUAAUGUAAUUAUCUGGUUAAUGCUGAUGAAGGAAUAUUCUCACUGCUGAAGAACACUGAUUGUCAAGCAGAUGUGACAGUCAAAUAUUCCAGCAGUCACCUGAGGAUUAGCAGUGUGUGCCAAAUGAAUCACAGGACUGACACCUUAGCAUCUGCAAAAACUGUCUCACUGAAUAAAAAUCUAUUUUAUUUGCAAAAUCCCAGAAAACCCUGAAUUUAAUCUUGUCCCCUAUUUGAAGGACGCUUUUCAUCUGUUCACACACUCCUGUGAAAUGUCAGCAGUGACAAACCACCGAUUAAAUGUACCUUGAGACCUCGUCUUUUUCUCUUUUAAAAAUAACUAAUUUUCUCUUCGUUUUGCAGCACUGCCGUGCGGGUGUUCUGGCGUUGCCAUGGUUACUGGCCUCCUGCUCACUUGCCUGAAGAGUCCAGAUGAAAAUUGGCUUGUCAGUCAGUGAGGGGCUCACUGCAGUGCCACAGUUUCACCAGGCACCCUGGGCUCAAGGAAAGGACUGUUGCUAGUGGAGACUUCCAUUGGACUAUAUUCAUCUGAUAAUUCAUCCGACUGACCUGCACUUCACUUGUGAGACCAGUCAGGGGCAUCAACAGGAGGUUUGUUUUUCUUAGACCAUAAGAUGUAAAGGAGCAGAAUUAGGCCAUUCAGCCCUUUGAUUCUAACCACCACUCGAUCGUGGCUGAUAUGUUUCUCAACACCAUUCUCCUGCCUUCUCCCUGUAACCCCCUCACUAAUCAAGAGCCUACCUGUUGCUGUCAUAAAUACACUCAAUGACGUGGUCUCAACAGCCUCCUGUAGCAAUUGGAGUUCCACAGAUUCACCACCCUCUGGCUGAAGAAAUGCCUCCUCAUCUCAUUUCUAAAGGGAUGUUACUUCAGUCUGAGGCUGUGCCCUUGUGACUUUAUCUUCUCCAUGUGCACUCUAUUCAGGCGUCUCAGUAUUCUGUAAGUUUCAAUCAGACUCCCCCAUCCUUCUAAACUCCAGAGUCCUUAACUGCUCCUUACAGGACAAACCCUUCAGCCCCAUGAUCAUUCUUGUAAACCUCCUGCAUACCCUCUCCAAGGCCAGCACAUUCUUCCUUGGAUCGGGUCCAAACUGCUCAUAAUAUUCCAAAUGCAGCUUUAUACAGCCUCAGCAGUACAUCCCUGCUCUUGUAUUCUAGCCUUCUCAAAUAUCCUUUUUACAUUUUUCCCAUUUACUUUUUUGUUUUUGCCAAUUAUCUCUCCUUGUCUCUAGAACACAUUGACUCAGAAUCAUAGAACAAUACAGCACAGAAUGAGGCCAUUCAACUCAUUCAUGUCUAUGCCAGCCCUUUGAAAGUACUUUCCAAUUAGCUCCACUUUUCCUACUUGUUCCUCGUAGCCACGAAGUCUUUUCCUUCUUGUCACUUUAUUCAGUUCUGUUUUGAAGUUGCAACCGAAUGCAGUUUUUCCAAUUUCAAGCAGUUUUUGAUGAAUCAUUUUAUUCUUCAAUACAUACUUCACCAGAUAUUUCAAGUCAAAUACACAUUUUAUCGUGCUUAGUUGUUUUGUUACUUGUAUGAACUACUCAUUUCUUCCCGUAAGUUGAAAUUUCAAUUUGUUUUACUUGUUCAUCGCCACCUGGGGUGGAGAGUGGCAAAAUGGGAUCAUGUGUAAGUGUCUCUUUCAUGAUUCGUGGUAAAGUACUUUCUAUACUACAGCAUGCACCCACUGGGAUGAUCUGCUUCUUGGAUGUUUCUUAGAGGGUAAUGGUAAGGGUGGAUGAGAGGGGAGAAUGCAGGACCUUUUGAUUUGAUCUCCACUUCUGCCUUCGCGUUAGGGUAGCAGGGAUUUGGAGUUGCCCCUAUUGCGCAGGAAGAGGGGGAGUCACAAACACAUGACCAUAUCACUCCAUGAACUAAUGUGUCGGAACAUCUAAAUAAUGUGUCACCAUACUCUCAGUGUCUUCCAUGUCGGUGCUCCUCUCAACAGUUGGCUCUUAACAGUAAGUGUUAGUGGGAGACUAUUUGACUGUGGGAGAUUCACAGCUGAGCCUCCUUCUGUCUCAAUCCCGAUCUGCACUUCCUAUUCAGUGCUCACUAGUUGGGAAAAGUCUUCACGAGUCCAAAGAUGUGCAGGUUAGGUGGAUUGGCCAUGCUAACUUGCCCAUAGUGUUCAGGGAUGUGUAGAUUAGGUGGGUUAUGAGGGAUGGAUCUGGGUGGGAUGCUCUGUGAACUUGUUGGGCUGAAGGGCCUGUUUCCACAUUGUCGGGAUUCUAUGAUUUAUGAUCUAAACACUGGCUGACUCCUCCCAUCACUAACUCAGGGCUGUAAAUUAGUUACAACACCCACAUCAUGAACACAAUUGAGAUUUGUUAAUGCAGCGUGGAAAUGGCUGUUAUUGAUGAAACCCUUUAUCUGUGUAGUUUAACAAUUCAAAUUUCAAUGUUGGUGGAGUUUCUGUACAAUGCCUGAUAAUGAGAAUUAAGUGUGUUUAUUUUUACUGGGAUCGCUUUGAAUUAUCCAAUACCGCCUCCUGUCCUCCAUUUAGCUGUGAUUUCAGAGUUGCCUGAUUCCUAAUGUUGGGGGUUGGUUAGUUCAUUUGGCUGGAAUGUAAUGCAGAGUGACACAAUAGCAUGGGUUCAGUUCACACACCAGCUGAGAUUACCAUCAAGGUCCUAUCUUCUCACCCUCUAUUCUCACCUGAGGCGUGGUGACCCUCAGGUUAAACUCACCACCGGUUGACUUUGAGACACCCACUCUAUGGGACUAUGGUGACUUUAUUCCUAAUACUAUGCUAAUGUAAAUACAUUAUUCAUGCCAAUGUUAAAAAAAACUUUAUUUCAAAUAAACUGUUUUUCUUGCUAUCAGUAUC